CUAGAAAAAAAAAGAAAAAACCCUUCAGAAGUAGGCUUAAAAUCCUAACUUUUAACUUUUCACAUGGAAACAUCAUUUAAUUCGACCAUAUUAAAAUAACUAAUUAAAUAAAAACUUGUUAAAGGUUUGCAUAUGAAUUACUCAUUGCUGACUCAUCAAAUCAAAGUAUCAAGCAGUUUAAAAUUGUCAUAUGAUCGGCGACAAUUCCGAUAAAAAAAUGUCGCCGCCGUUAACUCCUAGCGCAGCUGCUUACCUCGGUGCCGUCGCUCUCCAAAUUCAGAAGAAACUCCAACGCGCUUUAGCUUAGCCAUCGCAGAGCCGAAAUUUGCUGCAAGGGUUGUUCGCCGACAUAGCUUUGGAGGUAGAUGAUCGUGCUAAAGGUAGUGUGAAGGCUAUGUGAGGGCUAUUUGAUGUCCAGUUGAUGUGGCAAGCUGAUGUGGCAGGAGAAUUGUAGUGCUGAUGAUGUGGCAGUGUGAAGGCUAUUUGAUGGCUAUUUGACGUCCAGUGCUAUUGGAGAUGCUCUAAUGCUCUUCGUUGGGAAUAGUAUUAUACACUGGUAUUAGUUAUGCAUAUAAUAUAAUACAAUUUCAAAGUACAUUUCGCCCUAUUUUAUAUGGAUGCCUUUACAGAUUCCUCUGGUUAAAGAUGAUUUUGCUGAUAAUGCUUAAAAUGCCCAGUGUUUGAUUAUGUUUCUUAUUUGCUGUUGGUUGCAACAUAUAUUAUUUUUGAUGAGGAAGAUGUAGUUUAUGUUGCAGAAGAUGGAUAUGGUCGUGCAUACUGCUUUUACGACGUCCUCGCUGAUUAUUUUGUAUGCAUACCGCAGAGUGGAGAUUCGAUAAUUGAUCUCAUAGUACAGUCAUUUGCAUCUAAUAUAGUAUUUUGUCUUUUGUUCUACAAGCAGGUAUGUAUUUAUUUCUUGCUUGGUCUUUCCCUUUUUGUAUUAUUUAGAUGCAUUGGGAUGUAUGAGUAUCUGUGUAAGUGGUAGUAGUUCUCCAGAAAUCCGGCAAUGGGGGGUUUUCCAGCGAGUCUGGGCUCUGGGGUGAGGUUUUUGUCAAAGGAGGGAUCGAAGAAAGGGAACUUCAUAUAUUGAUCUGAAUAUUUCUUUGUACAUUAGAGGCUACUAUUAUAGUAUUAGGAGAUAGGCUAUACAAGGUAACACAUUUAAUUACAUUGAUUUGGUAGAAUAUAAUCUUCUAUGUUUAGUAGAGUAUAAUCUUCCGUGAUCUUCUGUAAUUCCGAGAAUAUCUUCCGUGAUCUUCGUGAUUCUUUUCAAUAGUUUUGUAUUUAUCAGAAGUUCAUUUGUAUGUGAGUGAAAAUCAGAUAUGGAUUUGGAUAGAGGAAGUGUCCAUUCAUACAGUACUUAUCUUUCAAAAUAGCUAGAUUAUGUCCAUACUCAAUUUUUGUGUUUCAUCGUCACCUUCCACUCUUCCAGUAAUUAGUAUCUUUGUAACUCUUAAUUUGUUGUUGUAUCUUGCUUUGUCAAACAUCUCUAUAUUUCAAUUCACUGAUCCUUUUAGAUUUGCAACUCAUUUGCAGAUGUUUGAGGUUAAUCGUAAUGUCGUACUUCGUUACUCAUCUGCUCUAGUCCAAGGUGCUUAAAAUGUCAUCUGGUACAAAUCUCGCUCUUUACUUGUAGGGGAUAUAAUUUCCAGUGUAAGCUUCUUAUGCAGAUAAAAGUGGGUUGGGAGAUUACCAAACACUGAUAUACUAUUGAGUAUCAUUUGUGUGUGUGCAUUAAAAAGUUAGUAAGCUGUUUUUGUAUCAACACAUCCGAGCUUUCUUUUUAGUUCAAUCUCAUUUUAAAGAAAGGAACAUAUUUAAGUGUGUGUUCGUACUUGCAGGACUGACAUUCGAACAAAUACAAGGCGCUUCUCAAGUCUUUUUAUUGUGAGAGUUUUGCCAAGACAAUUUCAAUGGCUACCUAAUACUUUAGUUUUGUGAUCUAAUACACUUCCUGCUUUUGAUGCUUGUAGUAUUUUCUAGAUGAUGUUGAAAGAUUAAAGAAGAUCUCCCCACAGCUCUAUAAAUUUUCCUCUCUGUUAUGAUGGAAUUUCUUGUAAUCUCACACAAUGAUCGCUUAUUGUUGACUCAACUUAUUUUAACAC